UCCCUGGAGGACUAGUGGUUAGUCCUCGGUGCUCUCACCACUGCAGCCCAGGUUCGAGUCCCGGCCAAGGAA